UUUCCGUAGGUGAACCUGCGGAAGGAUCAUUAUUGUAUAACCGAGGUGCGAGGGCUGUCGCUGACCCGAAAGGUCGUGCACGCCCGAGUGCCCUCACACACAUCCAUCUCACCCCUAUCUGCACCAACGCGUGCGUCCCCCUUUGGCUUGUUCGGAGGGGGGCUUACGUUUUCACACAAACUUUGUAUGCAGUGUAGAAUGUAUUUUUUGUUUUUGCGAUCACGCAAUCAAUACAACUUUCAACAACGGAUCUCUUGGCUCUC
rnacentral:misc_RNA from 1 species